rnacentral:siRNA from 1 species
UGGCGGUGCUAAGCGCGUACG